rnacentral:rRNA from 1 species
AACGAACGCUGGCGGCAGGCUUAACACAUGCAAGUCGAGCGCGCGCUUUCGGGCGUGAGCGGCGGACGGGUGAGUAACGCGUGGGAACGUGCCCUUUCCUCCGGAAUAGCCCUGGGAAACCGGGAGUAAUGCCGGAUACGCCGGAUCAUGGCGACAUGGUUCGGGAAAGAUUUAUCGGGGAAGGAUCGGCCCGCGUUGGAUUAGGUAGUUGGUGGGGUAACGGCCUACCAAGCCGACGAUCCAUAGCUGGUUUGAGAGGAUGAUCAGCCACACUGGGACUGAGACACGGCCCAGACUCCUACGGGUGGCUG